rnacentral:rRNA from 1 species
AUGAGGGAGGUCGUGACGGUGCAGGUCGGCGGCUUCGCCAACUUCGUCGGCUCCCACUUCUGGAACUUCCAGGAUGAGCUCCUCGGGCUCGCCGACGACCCCGGCGCAGACGCCGCCUUCAGGACCGCGCCGCUUGACAUGGACGUCCUGUACCGCACCGGCGAGACGCUCCAGGGCGUCUCCACCUACUGCCCCCGUUUGGUAUCUGUCGGUUCUCGAGGGUCUCUUGGUUCUUUAAGUUCCUCCGGUGCUCCGAGCCUGAGUAGCGCUGCCUCGGAUCAGCUCAAUGUCACUACAUGGUCUGGAAAUGUAACAAGAUCGGUAGAAAAGCCUCAUGGGCGGAACUUGUUUCUGCAAAGCUUAACUGAACAAGAGCCGAACCCAAGCACUAGCAAUGGUGGGAACAACUCUCAGAAAAGUGUAGAAGAUAAGGACUUAGUUGAAUGCUUAGAGAAGGAUGUCAACUUUUGGACUGAUUAUACGAAGGUUCAGUAUCACCCUCAAAGCUUGUAUGAAAUGUAUGGGUCAUGGACAGACUUUGACAAGUUUGACAACUUUGGAACUGCAAGGGAGGUAGUUUCAGAAUGGUCUCUAAUGGAGGAGAUGAAUGAGAAGCUAAGGUUCUUUGUUGAAGAAUGUGAUCACAUUCAGGGUAUCCAGUUUAUUGUGGACGAUUCGGGAGGGUUUUCCAGCAUAGCUGCAACUUAUUUGGAAAACAUUGCUGAUGACUACACAAACACACCUGUAUUGCUUUAUUGUGUGAGGGAUCCAGUUACUCAUGGAUCAUCCAGAAAUCAAAGGGAUACCAUUACAAGAUCUUUGCAUGACGCUGUUUCACUUUCAAAGCUUUCAUCCUUUUGCAGUUUGAUGGUUCCAAUAGGACUGCCUUCUCUCAGUCAAAGUUCUCUGUCACCCUUCCUUUCUAUACAAGAUGCAAAACCAUUCCACUCCAGUGCAAUUUCUGCAGCAGCGAUACAUUCAGUAACUGUACCAUUUAGACUACAAAAUGCUGGUCCGGCUUCAAACAUAGCACAUUCAUCUGGUAAUAUUGAUAUGCGCGAACUUGUGCACAUAAUAUCUGAUCAGGGUAGGCAGAACAUGGUUACUGCUCUGGACGUAGCAAUGCCUGCCCCUUAUUUGAAAGAUGGAAAUGAUCUGUGGAACAUGAAAAGCCUGCACACACUGACCCCUGAAAUCAGUGACGAAGAAGAAGACCCUUACUCUGUUGAAUCAUUGGUGGUUCAUGGAGUUCUGCGUGCAGGUGGGCAUCGGGCAUCAAUAUCACAAGUGCAGGGCUCUGUGUGCUCAGCUUACGAAGGCAGAGCCACAAAACCAAAGUUCUCCCAUCUUUCAGUGUCACCCUGCCCGCUCCCCAUACCCCUCCCGUUCCCGUCGAUCUUCAGGAGCAACAUCGGCCAGCGCGGCGAGAUCCUCAGUAACCACGCGGAGGGAACCCAGCCAAAGGGUUCACUCGACGUCGAGUCGAUACCGAUGGCUGCACGCCUAAGAUCGAGCAACGCGGUCCUGCCCUUCAUAGAGAGGCGCUCGCUGAGCCUCCAGAAGUUCGGCGUUGCAAGGGGCGCUCUGGGGACGCAGAUACUCCGCGACUGGGGCUUCGGGAGGGAAGAGAUGGAGGACAUGGGCGAGCACCUGUCCAAGAUGGUCCACGUGUUUCACCCCGAGGGCGGACUAACAUCGGAUUCUGACUAA